rnacentral:misc_RNA from 1 species
AGGUCGAUAAUACCGGGCAGAAUCAGCUUUUGCAGAAAGCCUGGAGUGUUUCAUCAACGGCUUUUCUGUCGUAAUCACCAGUGAACACACAGCCACCUAGCGGGCCUUUGAGAAGUAUCAGCCUUAGAAGUCCAUCAGCAACCUUUUUAUCAACCGCCAUUAUAGCUUUAAACUUGUCCACCGUCAUCAUCUCAGGUGGUGCAAUUGGGAGUUUGGCCUGUUGUAAGAUGUUCAGUACGCGCUCUACAAUCGUCUGAUCAAUCCAGCCCAUCCUGUGUGACAAGUCGACUGCCAUGACCAUGCCAGCCGCAACAGCUUCCCCAUGGAGCCACUCCCCAUAACCAACGCCUGUUUCUAUUGCGUGUCCAAAUGUGUGACCCAAGUUCAAGGUAGCCCUAACUCCACUUUCUUUCUCAUCUAAGGAGACAACCUCAGCUUUAUUUUCACAUGACCUCUUGAUAGCAUAUGCUAAAGCACUUGGAUCCCUCUCCAACAGUGCCUGCAUAUUCUUCUCUUGCCACUCGAAA